AGGAGUUUAGGAUAAAUUAAGUCUGAGAAAUUGUCUGUUUCUAAGUCCCCAAGGGGAACUUCUU
rnacentral:tRNA from 1 species